rnacentral:rRNA from 1 species
GACGAACGCUGGCGGCGGGCCUAACACAUGCAAGUCGAACGAGUGGCGGACGGGUGAGUAAUGUCUGGGAAACUGCCCGAUGGAGGGGGAUAACUACUGGAAACGGUAGCUAAUACCGCAUACCAUCGGAUGUGCCCAGAUGGGAUUAGCUAGUAGGUGGGGUAACGGCUCACCUAGGCGACGAUCCCUAGCUGGUCUGAGCGGAUGACCAGCCACACUGUAAGUGGAACACGGGCCGGACUCCUACGGGGGGCAGCAGUGGGGAAUAUUGCACAAUGGGCGCAAGCCUGAUGCAGCCAUGCCGCGUGUAUGAAGAAGGCCUUCGGGUUGUAAAGUACUUUCAGCGAGGAGGCGUUACUCGCAGAAGAAGCACCGGCUAACUCCGUGCCAGCAGCCGCGUAAUUC